rnacentral:rRNA from 1 species
UACGGGGGGGAGCUAGCGUUUUUUCGGAAUUACUGGGCGUAAAGGGCGCGUAGGCGCCAAUAAAGUUGAAAGUGAAAGCCCCGGGCUUAACCUGGGAACUGCUUUCAAAACUCAUUGGCUAGAGGACGAUAGAGGACAGUGGAAUUCCUAGUGUAGAGGUGAAAUUCUUAGAUAUUAGGAAGAACACCAGAGGCGAAGGCGGCUGUCUGGAUCGUUUCUGACGCUGAGGCGCGAAAGCGUGGGGAGCAAACAGG